GGGGGUGUAGCUCAGUGGCAGAACGCUUGCCUCGCAUGCAUGAAGCACUGGGUUCGAUCCUCAGCACCACUU
rnacentral:tRNA from 1 species